UACGUUCCCGGGCCUUGUACACACCGCCCGUCACACCAUGGGAGUUGGUUUUACCCGAAGGCGGCUUUGCCAACCCGAGAGGGGGGCGGCCGGCCACGGUAAGGUCAGCGACUGGGGUG
rnacentral:rRNA from 1 species